AAUGCCUCACGGCGAAGAGAGCGUGGCUAAAACCGGAAGAAAAGAAGGGGGAAUAUAUUUGGUUCUUCGGAGGGCAUGGUGGGACACCGAAACGAACUGUUGGCUUCUAUGUAUCCGAAGGAAGCAGCCCUGACACAUUCCGCUUCUCAGUGGACCAAGACGACUCACCCUCAGAGGAGGCGAAGUUUUACUACACCGACUACGACAACUGUGCUGUCCUCGACAUUCCUUACAAU